rnacentral:rRNA from 1 species
UACGAAGGGUGCAAGCGUUAAUCGGAAUUACUGGGCGUAAAGCGUGCGUAGGUGGUUUGUUAAGUCUGCUGUGAAAGCCCUGGGCUCAACCUGGGAAUGGCGGUGGAUACUGGCAAGCUAGAGUACGGUAGAGGAUGGUGGAAUUCCCGGUGUAGCGGUGAAAUGCGUAGAGAUCGGGAGGAACAUCAGUGGCGAAGGCGGCCAUCUGGACCAGUACUGACGCUGAGGCACGAAAGCGUGGGGAGCAAACAGG